CAGUGCUAAGUGAAUCUCAGUAAUGCACUAAGUGUUUUCUGUCAGGCUCCAGGUCUGCACAGCCUGGCUGGAAGGAGCAAUGGGGUGUGCUAGAGUGGUUCAUUCUCUCUUCUGGCAAUGAUGCUGUAUGAGGCUAUUGUUGCAUUGCUGUAAAGAAACACCUGAGCUGGGUAAUUUAUAAAGAAAAGAGAUUUAAUUGACUCACAGUUCUGCAUGGCUGGGGAGGCCUCAGGGAACUUAUGGUCAUGGCACCUCUUCACAGAAUGGCAGGAGACAGAAUGAGUGCCAACAGGGGGAAAUGCCAGACACUUACAAAACCAUCAGACCUCAUGAGAACUCACUCGCUAUUGUGAGAACAGCCGGGGGGAACCGCCCCCAUGGUCCAAUGACCACCACUUGGUCCUGCCUUUGACACAUGGGAAUUAUUACAACUCAAGGUGAGAUGUGGGUGGGAAGGCAGAGGCAAACCUUAUCGCUCAGGUUCCCUCUAACUAAUGUGUAAAAAGGCCUCAGGGCAAUGUUUAUAACGUAGCUAUCACUCAAGAAAUGUUGCUGUUAUUAUGAUCAUUUUCAUCAUACAGUUAUUAUUCUGGGACAGCCAAAGCCUGCACCAUCUAUUCCAGCAUAUUUCAUGUUUUAAAAGUAGACCACUGUUUCAUUCGAAAGGAAUGACUUGCCAAGAUUUAAAUUUCAAGUACUUUGACACCUAGGGGGAUUUCCACCAUGUUGAGGCUGUAGGGGGUACAAGGCCCCUCCUUUCUGGUGCCUCUCCACCCUGCUCAGUGCCCCAGGAGGCCGACUGGCGGAAACUCCCUUGCCCGGUGGUGUCUGACUGUGUUUGGCCAGUGGGAGGCACUGGCAGGAGUUGGAGGACAGAGAGAAGUGAGGCCAGAGCAUUUGCACCCCACCUCCCUGCCCACCCAUUCCCUGAGCUGAAGCUAGAGCUUCCGCCAGCCUGCCUCGCCAUUCAGCCACCCCUCCCAAGUUGCAGGGCCUGCUUUCCUUUUGCAUCUUCCUCAAGCCUGGAAGGGGGAAUGACUUCCCAAUUACUCUAGUUACUAGCCCUGGGUACUACACUAUCCUUGGGUGGUUUCCCUAAAUGUUGUCCAUGGCUUCAA